CGCAAUGGGCGAAAGCCUGACGGAGCAAUGCCGCGUGAAGGAUGAAGGCCUGUGGGUUGUAAACUUCUUUUCUCAGAGAAGAAAUUUUGACGGUAUUUGAGGAAUAAGCAUCGGCUAACUCUGUGCCAGCAGCCGCGGUAAGACAGAGGAUGCAAGCGUUAUCCGGAAUGAUUGGGGGUAAAGCGUCUGUAGGUGGCUUGACAAGUCUCCUGUCAAAGAUCAGGGUUUAACCCUGGGCCGGCAGGUGAAACUAUCAGGCUAGAGUUCGGUAGGGGCAGAGGGAAUUCCCGGUGGAGCGGGGAAAAGAGUAGAUAUCGGGAGGAACACCAACGGCGAAAGCAAUCUGAAGGACCGAUGUAUGAUGUACCUCGGUACAACAUA
rnacentral:rRNA from 1 species